UCGCCGCAUCGUUUGUCAUUGCCGCAUCGACUGCCUAUUUGCCCGAAAACCAAGAUUUCUUUUAUGUCAUUGGUUCAGGUGGAUUGGGUUUAUCAUUAUUCUUGAUUCAUAUAUAUGUGACUGAAAUCAAGCGCACUCUACAAGCAUUAUGGGGCCUCGGGGUUCUUGGAUCAGCUGCAACCUACAUCUAUCUUGCUCAACCGACUAAUAAAACUCUAAUACAAUAUGUUGUUGAUAACCCCUCAGCUGUCUGGCUUGUUGGUCCUCUUUUCGCUGCUUUGACAGGACUUGUUUUCAAGGAAGGACUCUGCUACGGCAAGCUAGAAGCUGGAGCUCUCACGUUCAUUAUUCCCAUACUUCUUAUCGGGCAUUUGGUAUUCUUCUUUAGUUCCUCUAAAGUGCUCAAUUAAACAUGUUUCCUAUUUAGUUUACAGUCGACAUUAGGCUAUACCCUAUGGUUCUUGUGUUUCUUUCAAAUUUGUUAGUUAAGGAUUUGGAUUCUCUGUUUUCAAAUAUGUCAUAGUUACUACAGUCAUAAUAUUGGAAUUGUAAGAUGAAGACCUAAAGAUUCAUAUUUAAAUAUUUCAACUUUAGUGAAUUUAGUAAGUAUGUACAUAAACAGAGCCCAAAUUAUUUGUUACCCUGCACUGCAACAUGUUCAAUGACCAUGAUUGAGUUGGACCUUUUAUAUCUGUAAAAAUUGUAUGAUAUUUGCCUAAUGACAAUUAGUACAUGUUGGUGUAGACUUGUUUUAGAUUGUAUUUUAUCUUAAUCUUAAAUAUAUAAAUCAUGCCCAAUUUGUUGUUUUAUGUGACUGCAUUGGUCUGUGAUAAAUAUUUUUGGACCAUUAAUAUUGCCAUUGAUGAUUGUGGAGGUAACCUUUUAUUUUGCCAUGUGUUACCUAAGUGGUGUGUGUGCCAUGUCCCGGCGAAGAAAAAACAAUCCAUAUUCUGUACUGCUUGAGUUGCCUUAUCUUUGACACUUCUCUUUUGCGAACUACCGACCCUAGAAGCAUGUUCAAAGAGUUCCCUGUACACAUAGCCCAUUCUUUUCAAUUUCGGGCAGUAUGAGAGAAAUUGAAAUUGAAGAGAUGGAAGGGGAAAUUUAGGAUAGGAGCUAUGGAAUUUGGUAAGAACAAACAACAUUGCUGUUAAGUUUGGAAGACACAAGUUGGACAGCCGGUUAUGUCUUUCCAGUUAUUUAACUCAUCUCUCUUUUUUAGGAUGUUAACUCCUGUACUGAUGUGCACUAAAUUAUGCAGGUUAACCGAUGGUUGUCAAGUUGUGGUUAUAAGCUUUGGUAUGACAUUCGAAUAUUCUUCGGAGGACCUGACAAUAAUUAAGCGCUUGCUUACGGUAUGAGAAUAGCCGAACAUCCUGACAUUAUCAUUCGGCGCUAAGUUAGUCGGUGUUGUAUCGGUAGAAUAUACUAUGUUAGGAAGAAUGUAAAUAGGUUAACAGUUGAUUGUAUAUUAUCAAAGAAUGUAAAUAGGUUAACUGUUGAUUGUAUAUUAUCAUUUCAUCAUUAAUUUUUUUACUGAGGUGGUUUUGAA